rnacentral:rRNA from 1 species
AUACGGAGGGUGCAAGCGUUGUUCGGAAUUAUUGAGCGUAAAGAGCAUGUAGGCGGUCUGUUAAGUCUGGUGUGAAAGCCCGGGGCUCAACCCCGGAAGUGCAUUGGAUACUGGCAGACUUGAGUAUGGGAGAGGAAAGCGGAAUUCCGAGUGUAGGAGUGAAAUCCGUAGAUAUUCGGAGGAACACCAGUGGCGAAGGCGGCUUUCUGGACCAAUACUGACGCUGAGAUGCGAAAGCGUGGGGAGCGAACAGGAUUAGAAACCCCUGUAGUCC